GACGAACGCUGGCGGCGUGCUUAACACAUGCAAGUCGAACGGAAAGGCCCUGCUUUUGUGGGGUGCUCGAGUGGCGAACGGGUGAGUAACACGUGAGUAACCUGCCCUUGACUUUGGGAUAACUUCAGGAAACUGGGGCUAAUACCGGAUAGGAGCUCCUGCUGCAUGGUGGGGGUUGGAAAGAUUCGGCGGUUGGGGAUGGACUAGCGGCUUAUCAGCUUGUUGGUGGGGUAGUGGCUGACCAAGGCUUUGACGGGUAGCCGGCCUGAGAGGGUGACCGGCCACAUUGGGCCUGCGAUACGGCCCAGACUCCUACGGGAGGCAGCAGUGGGGAAUAUUGCACAAUGGGCGGAAGCCUGAGGCAGCAACGCCGCGUGCGGGAUGCCGGCCUUCGGGUUGUAAACCGCUUUCGCCUGUGACGAAGCGUGAGUGACGGUAAUGGGUAAAGAAGCACCGGCUAACUACGUG
rnacentral:rRNA from 1 species